UCAAAACUUUCAACAACGGAUCUCUUGGUUCUGGCAUCGAUGAAGAACGCAGCGAAAUGCGAUAAGUAAUGUGAAUUGCAGAAUUCAGUGAAUCAUCGAAUCUUUGAACGCACAUUGCGCCCUCUGGUAUUCCAGAAGGCAUGCCUGUUCGAGCGUCAUU
rnacentral:rRNA from 1 species